UAUUUUUAUUUUUUUCAUUCUCGCCGGCUGUAAGCUUUCUCUAUUCCUCUCCCUCCCUCCCUCCCUCCCUCUCUCUCCAUCUCAUGCUAAUAGUAGUCUGGACAGGAGGAGGUGCUUUCUCCAUGCGGUGAAGAAAGAAUCGAAUGCUAACAACAAUCUGCAGAAGCUUAACUAGUAACUCCAAUCCCUCUCUCAGAAUCCUUAAUUAUUCCUUAUUCAUAAAUUGUGGAGGCAGUACAAUGAUUGUUGGGAAGAAAGAAUAUGAAGGUGACUCAUCAGAAAUGAGAUCGUUAGACAGUCUCUUCUACUGACAGAUGGGCUUAUAGUAGCACAGGGGAAGAGCUCUACUAUGUUGUUAUCUGGUCUUCAGGGUCUUGCAGGGGAAGCAGCUGCUGCUGGUCUUUCUCUUUCUGAUGUUACUGCAGAAGCAAAGUAUGCAUCUGAAAUGGUGGGAACGAUGGGUGUCGCCCUCUCUGUUUGUACACUUCUAGGCCAGGUCGCAUCAGAUCGUUUAGGCUCAAGAAUAAUGGAGCUAGGUCUUAGAAUCGUAAGUUGUUAAAUAAUCUCAUUUUCUUGCUAUCUUAAUUACAGUUUAAUCCAUUUCAGGUACCUUUAAUGAUCAAGCAACCUGAAUGAAGAUCUUCCAAUGAUUAUCGAUCUUUAUAUGUAUCUCAACCACUAGAAUAUAAUUUCUUGGGACCCUGCGAUGGCUACUUGAGAAUAGGACUUCAGAAUUUAUGCAUCAACAUGCACCACUAUGGCUUUCAUAAAUUGCAUGGGGAGCCUGGGGCCGCUGUUGCUGACAUCCAACCUGUGGAUGUAGUGGUAUCUCAUGUUCUAAAGCAGAUUUUAUCAAUGGUCUAUUUCACUUGAUCACUGAUUAUUACACUGCUACUUCUACAUUCUGUUUUGUUGCUUAAAAUAUGGCAUAACAGGUCCCAUGAUAAAACUGAAACUCAAUUAUGAUUGCAUGCUAAAUCUAGUUCUCUUUUCUCAUCUUUUUAUCCUUUCUAGACAUUAUUGGAAUCUUUACUGGUCCCAGUAGUGUUUAGUUCCUUUAAUUCCUUUGCAUUCUCUUCUUAUAUUUUACU